UCAACCCCUUGUUGUAUGCUUGCAUGAAGCAUGAAUUAUUGAUUUUUUUCAGAGAUUCGUGUUUGAAAAAGUAUAAUGUUUCAAAGUUCAUGUGCAUUUAUUAGGAGUUUAAGAUGGAAAUAUAUAGCGCUAAUAUCUCUUUACUUAAUUCUUUUAUGUGGAGAAGUAUUCUUUCUUUUUCAUGAACCACACAAUGCAAUUGCCAUCGAACUGUACUUUUUUGAUCCAGUAAUCGAGCAGCUUUUAUUCAUUUCAAAUGUCGUUAUCGCAAUUGGAACGAUAUUUGUUGUAGUAAUUACCUAUUUAUCUUGGUGCAUUAUCCAUGAAAAACAUAUAAGAAGCUUUCGGUAUAUGUUCAUCGCAGCUGCACUCAUCUCAGUUUUGGACGCUUCUACCGUAUUUCUGUAUUCUGGAAACGAUAACGAAUUGGAAAAAACAGCAAAAGAUGUGUUUUUACGUUGGGUUCAUGAAUAUCAUGACCGUCCGAAAGUAAAAGCUAUCGUUGAUUAUAUUCAAACUGAGUUGGAAUGUUGUGGUGAUGAAAGUUCGUAUGAUUGGUAUUAUCACGCAAAUGGGGUUCCUCCCUCUUGCUGUAUAAUCAAUUUUACCAGUAAUGACAUUUGUCAAGAAGAAAAUACUUUUUUAACCGGAUGUUCUGAGAGAAUUGCGCAUUUAGUGAACGAAACACAAAAUAAACAUAUGUGGAUUAUUUUUUGGAUAUCACUGCUAAUGUCAGCGAUGCUGAUGAUGGCAGCUGUGGCAAGAAUCCGAGGAAUCAACUCGAACUGAACAUCUUUUCGCAUUUUUCGUUUAUCACAGGUGCGAGUAUGGUUCGGAAAAAUCGCUGAAGUUAUACCAAGAAGUAAAGUGAGGUUUGGAACUUUGCUGAACCUUAUAACAGUGUUUCAAAAAAGAGAGAGAGAGAGAAAUGAGCAGAAGACGUUAAUUCCGAUCAAAAGUAGAAUAUUAUUCGACGUACCGCUUGAAAUUGUGUUUAUCGCAGAACACGCUCGUGAUAUAAUUUAUUUUUGUUGUAAAAUGACUCAACGAUAAUAAAUAAAUACAAAAAUAUAA